rnacentral:rRNA from 1 species
UACAGAGACUGCAAGCGUUAUUCGGAUUCACUGGGCGUAAAGGGUGCGCAGGCGGCCAAGUGUGUUAGGCGUGAAAGCCCGGGGCUUAACCCCGGAAUUGCAGCUAAAACUACAUGGCUAGAGCAUUGGAGAGGGUAGCGGAAUUCACGGUGUAGCAGUGAAAUGCGUAGAUAUCGUGAGGAACACCAGAGGCGAAGGCGGCUACCUGGACAAUUGCUGACGCUCAGGCACGAAAGCGUGGGGAGCAAAAGGG